CUUUAUGCUCUAAAAGUGGAAUUCCAGGGGACCAUUCACCCACUGAGUGUCGAAUUUUUGAACUCUUAGUUUAAACGAUGUUCAGCGGGUGAACUAUCCCUUGAAGUCUUAUGAGAGUGCGACCUACAAGGUCGCCACAGUUAUCCACAAAUUCAAAGACAUAGAAGGAUUUAAACCUCAAUUUUCUUCAAACUAAAGUGAACCUAAUUCAUCACUGUUAAAGUUCUUUGAAGAAAUUUGAGGUUAAGGUAAAUCCUAAUCCAUGUUUUAUAAACGAGAGCCUUGGUAGCCCAGUAGAUAUGAUCGAAUAUGGGUUAUGUGGUUAGGGUAGGCCUGGGCCGGGGAUAGGCAUUUUUGCCCGUCUCAGUUUUGAUGAGUUAUUGCCCUAUCUCUAGUAUAAAAUAUACUUGAUUUUCUCUUAUUUUCUCAGUUUGGUAUCUGUGUUCUACUAAAAUCACCUCCCGUUGUAUAGUCGCGGACGAUAUCAAUGUCCAUGUCCACAACACGACCUUGUAAUGCAUAUUUAAUUGCAAUAAUAUGUUGUUCGAUACCUACUGCCGAUUUAUUUCCAAAGUCUGGCCGCUCAGAGAUUGCGUUUCUGAUAUGUCGUGAGUUCAAAAUUGGAAUCUUUAGCCAAAGUAACGAAAUAUAAGGUACUGAAUUGUUACUGAAACUUUAACUUGUUACUGAGUUAAUAAAACUAAGUAGGUACAUUACCCAAACCAUAUUUUAUUUAAAUAUUUAAAUCAUCACAGUAUUAUACUGUGACCAAUAUAUUAUGAAUCAUUUCAGAUUGCAUCACAGUUUUAACCACUGACUUUUUUCCUUGAGUGAUACUAUUACUAAUUUAAGUAAUUUAUCUUUAAUGUGAUUUUAUACUGAUGCUUUUUAUACUAUCAUUGCGAGUAAUUAAAAUAAUCUGAAGACGACAUUUUGAGUCAUUAUAGUCAGACAGCAUGGUCGGCAAAUUUUUCUACUCCCAUUUCGUAAUCGACAUAAUAUAAAAUCUCAAACUUAAUGACAAAGUUAGUCAUUCCUACAGGUCGUUUGGUAAAGUUCAUUACCACUCGGAAAAAUCGUCUACAAUGAUUAUUUUUAAUUUCUUAAAUAGCUUCAUGUCAUUGGCUACAAAAAUUCAGGCUUCCAUAAGAGACAAAUCUAGAAAGCCACGCCGGGAUCAAAUCUAGGUGGCCACGCCGAUACAAAAAUCAACGAGACCAUUCCCAAAGUCAAUUAAAAUUGUAUAUUAUUUACCAAGUUUUGUUAAUUCUUUUAUUAAAUCAUGGUCGUAGAAAAAGUAUUGUAUGCCACAGCACGUAAUUAGCGAUUGUAGCGCUCAUGCUGUCUAUUGUUCAAUUCAAAACCCCCUAACAUGACAGUGGCAUAAAUAACUAUUUUUACAUGAGUUUUGGCAUAUUUCAUAUACAUGCGAGUGAAUGAUGUCGCGGGGUUUAGUAUAGUAUACAAUACAGAAUAAUUAUUUUGAAUUAAAUAUGUUUUUGUAGCAUUUCCUGUUUUACGGAUGGCUACACGAGAGUAUAAAAGACAAGCUAUUGUCGUCAUUCACAUGUAUUGUGGCCAAGGUUGCAACUACGAGUGUACUAUACUAUUUAAUAUAUAAAAAUCACGUGUCAGGGUAUUUGUAAUAGCAUUCAAUAUUCAUGUUUUUUAUAGUAGGGUAAAAGGGUGAAUACUUCAUUACAAGCAAUCUUAACUCUUCAAUUCCCAUGUCAAGGCUAAUAUAGAUUUUUCGUUUUUCUUUGGAUAACAUAGCUUACAAACACUUAGUUAUUACAAAAAAAUAAAUAAAAUGUAAAUGAACCACCCCCAUUUUUUUUUAUGGGCGUGUCACCCACAGGUGACACUGGGCAUUGAGGCAUUGUUGUUUCCUAUAAGUAUACUUGAGACUAUACUUAUAGGAAACAACAUUUUUCUUAUUCUUACAGUAGGAAUGAAACGACAGAUUCUAUAAUAAUGUGUAUAAUAAAUAUGUAAACAAAUAGAACACUCAUUUACUGUGAAAGCUGUACUAACACUAUAUGCAAACCGAUAUUGCAUUGGGAUACAUUUUUUUGUGUGGUGGUUUGUACAUACGCAUCUUCGUUGAGUGUCGAUUUGCGAGUGGUCGUCAGCUCUUCCAGCGCUCCUAACCUCAGUAGGGACUUUCAGCAUCAUCUGUAGAGGUAGAUUCAUAAAUUGCCGAUCGAAGGCUUGUCACAUUUUUUGCAAGUAGCAACAUUUCACCGGUUAAACGCAGUAAGGCUGGUUGUUUUAUGACCAUCUCUUGUCUCAGUUCAGACAUUCAUUUGACAAGCUGCAUCUAAGCUAAAAGUAAACUAAGUCAUGCUGUUGUCAUGCUACUUAGCUACAAUAUGUUCUUCAGAAGCUUGACGUAAGGAAGAGCCUAGCUCUUUCUCUCGUUCUCAAGUUUUAUGAAUUGCAGUAGUCCAGACGAUUUUCCCGACCAGUAACCGUACCCCAACAUUCUGCUCUCGUAACUACUCGGAAUAAUUGUAAAGUAUAUUUUGUAUUACAACAUGAGAGCGAAGCAUGCGACUGGGGAGAUGUAUAAUAUUAGCUUCGUUUCUUCCCUCUAUCUUCACCUGUAACAACAUAAGGAGAAAAUAAAAUAAUAUCGCCUGAGUUCUCCUCUGCCCGCAACUAUAAUCCAAGGUCAACCUGUAAUACGUAAUAAAGUUAUAAAAAAACAUCACCACAUAGCGAUAAGGCCAAAAUGUAACAAGUUUUUGCUUAGAAUGAAGUCAGGACAAUUUGUUAUUGCAAUGCCCAGUGUCACCUACAGGUGACACUGCAUACUUCCGACGUUGUAACAAUAACGCUAUAAGUUAUUUUUAGAAUAAGAAACAUUUGUACUACAGCUUAUUUAUUCCUUUAUUACAUGUAAUAAGUAAAAAAACAAUACUUACGGUCUAGGCAUUUAUAUUUCACUUUAUAUCGCAAGAGAUCACACAAACUCAGACUCCUUCAAUUUCGCGCUAAACAACUGAAUGAAUUUGACACAUGACAUAUUGCUAGUGUUAUCAAAAAAAAAUAAUUGAUAAUGUUACAUAUUGGCUUCGAAA
rnacentral:lncRNA from 1 species